UACGAAGGGGGCUAGCGUUGUUCGGAAUUACUGGGCGUAAAGCGCGCGCAGGCGGUCUUCCAAGUCAGUGGUGAAAGCCCGGAGCUCAACUCCGGAAUUGCCAUUGAAACUGUUGGACUUGAGGAUGAGAGAGGUGAGUGGAAUUCCCAGUGUAGAGGUGAAAUUCGUAGAUAUUGGGAAGAACACCAGUGGCGAAGGCGGCUCACUGGCCCGGUACUGACGCUGAGGUGCGAAAGCGUGGGGAGCAAACAGG
rnacentral:rRNA from 1 species